AUUGAACGCUGGCGGAAUGCUUUACACAUGCAAGUCGAACGGCAGCACGGGGCAACCUGGUGGCGAGUGGCGAACGGGUGAGUAAUACAUCGGAACGUGCCCAAUCGUGGGGGAUAACGUAGCGAAAGUUAUGCUAAUACCGCAUACGAUUUACGGAUGAAAGCGGGGGAUCGCAAGACCUCGCGCGAAUGGAGCGGCCGAUGUCAGAUUAGGUAGUUGGUGGGGGUAAAAGGCUCACCAAAGCCAACGAUCUGUAGCUGGUCUGAGAGGACGACCAGCCACACUGGAACUGAGACACGGUCCAGACUCCUACGGGAGGCAGCAGUGGGGAAUUUUGGACAAUGGGCGCAAGCCUGAUCCAGCCAUUCCGCGUG
rnacentral:rRNA from 1 species